GAGCAACAAAUCCUUUCAAGUUUGAGCAUGUAAAGUGUCCUCAACAAUCGAGUGAUUUUGAGUGUGGAUAUUAUGUUAUGAAGUAUAUGCAUGAACUAUGCACAAAAUAUUCCACAUUCACUUCUUUGGAUAAGGUUUUUCAAGACACUAUGACAUAUUCCAUUGAAGAAAUUGAUGAGAUUCAUGAGAUGUGGGCCAAGUAUUUUUAUAAUGAAUGUGUAUAAGUGUGUGUAUCAUGAUGGAGUACUUAGAUGUUGAUGGUUGGAUUAUAUUGUCUACUAUAUAUAUUAGUUUGGAUUAUAUAUUAUGGAUUAUUGUAGUUUAGUUUGGAUUGUAGUGUGGAUUACUAUUUUGAAUUGUGAUGUAAUUUGGAUUAUAUUGUGAAUUGUGAAAUAUAAUCGUGUUAAU